rnacentral:misc_RNA from 1 species
GAUGAAGAACGUAGCGAAAUGCGAUAAGUAAUGCGAAUUGCAGAAUUCCAGUGAGUCAUCGAAUCUUUGAACGCACAUUGCGCCCCUUGGUAUUCCAUGGGGCAUGCCUGUUCGAGCGUCAUUUGUACCUUCAAGCUUUGCUUGGUGUUGGGUGUUUGUCCUGAGGGACUCGCCUUAAAGUAAUUGGCAGCCAGUGUUUGGUUUUGAAGCGCAGCACAAGUCGCGAUUCAAAGCUAUACGUCCGCUUCCACAAGCCUUUUUCACUUUUGACCUCGGAUCAGGUAGGGAUACCCGCUGAACUUAAGCAUAUCAAUAAGCGGAGGA